rnacentral:rRNA from 1 species
ACCAGCCAUGCCGCGUGCAGGAAGACUGCCCUAUGGGUUGUAAACUGCUUUUAUUUGGGAAUAAACCUCUGUACGUGUCCGGAGCUGAAGGUACCAAAUGAAUAAGCACCGGCUAACUCCGUGCCAGCAGCCGCGGUAAUACGGAGGGUGCAAGCGUUAUCCGGAAUCAUUGGGUUUAAAGGGUCCGCAGGCGGAUUUAUAAGUCAGUGGUGAAAGCCUAUCGCUUAACUGUAGAACUGCCAUUGAUACUGUAAGUCUUGAAUUCGGUCGAAGUGAGGCGGAAUGUGUAGUGUAGCGGUGAAAUGCUUAGAUAUUACACAGAACACCGAUAGCGAAGGCAGCUCACUAGGCCUGGAUUGACGCUCAGGGACGAAAGCGUGGGGAUCAAACAGGAUUAGAUACCCUGGUAGUCCACGCUGUAAACUAUGAUUACUCGUUUUCGGCGAUAUACUGUCGGAGACUAAGCGAAAGUGAUAAGUAAUCCACCUGGGGAGUACGAUCGCAAGGUUGAAACUCAAAGGAAUUGACGGGA